rnacentral:rRNA from 1 species
AGCAGCCGCGGUAAUUCCAGCUCCAAUAGCGUAUAUUAAAGUUGUUGCAGUUAAAAAGCUCGUAGUUGAAUUUCGGGGUCAGUAGGUUGGUCGUGCCACUGGUAUGUACUGGCCUCACUGAUUCCUCCCUCUUGUAGAACCGUAAUGCCAUUAAGUUGGUGUUGCGGGGAAACAGGACUGUUACUUUGAAAAAAUUAGAGUGUUUAAAGCAGGCUAACGCUUGAAUACAUUAGCAUGGAAUAAUGAAAUAGGACGUUCGACCCUAUUUUGUUGGUUUCUAGGAUUGACGUAAUGAUUAAUAGGGAUAGUUGGGGGCAUUAGUAUUCAAUUGUCAGAGGUGAAAUCCUUGGAUUUAUUGAAGACUAACUACUGCGAAAGCAUUUGCCAAGGAUGUUUUCAUUAAUUCAAGGACGAAAGUUAGGGGAUCGAAGACGAUCAGAUACCGUCGUA